rnacentral:rRNA from 1 species
UACGUAGGGUGCAGGCGUUAAUCGGAAUUACUGGGCGUAAAGCGUGCGCAGGCGGUUCGUUAAGUCAGAUGUGAAAGCCCCGGGCUCAACCUGGGAACUGCAUUUGAAACUGGCGGGCUUGAGUGUGGCAGAGGGGGGUGGAAUUCCGCGUGUAGCAGUGAAAUGCGUAGAGAUGCGGAGGAACACCGAUGGCGAAGGCAGCCCCCUGGGCCAACACUGACGCUCAGGCACGAAAGCGUGGGGAGCAAACAGG